GACGAACGCUGGCGGCGUGCUUAACACAUGCAAGUCGAACGAUGAAGAAAAGAAUCGAAGCUUCGGCAGAAAUUCAUUUCGGAUUAGUGGCAGACGGGUGAGUAACGCGUGAGCAACCUACCUCUUACAAAGGGAUAGCCUCGGGAAACCGGGAUUAAUACCAUAUAACAUUGCGACGAAGCAUUUCCAUGCAAUCAAAGCUACGGCGGUAAGAGAUGGGCUCGCGUCCCAUUAACCGGAUGGUGAGGUAACGGCUCACCAUAGUGACGAUGGGUAACCGGGCUGAGAGGGUGAACGGUCACACUGGAACUGAGACACGGUCCAGACUCCUACGGGAGGCAGCAGUGGGGAAUAUUGCACAAUGGAGGGAACUCUGAUGCAGCGACGCCGCGUGAGUGAUGAAGGAAUGCGGUUCGUAAAACUCGGUUCUAUGGGAAGAAAAGGACUGUACCAUAGGAGAAAGCUCCGGCUAAAUACGUG
rnacentral:rRNA from 1 species